rnacentral:piRNA from 1 species
UACCGUGGAUCUCCUACCGAAGGUGCUUCCUA